UAUUGGCUUUUAAAAAGAAGGCCAUCGAGAAGCUGGGCAUGAGUGCCAACACGUGUUCCUUUAAUCCUGGGKUGAUCGUGGCCAACCUGACGGAGUCGAAGCAUCACAACAUCACCAGCCAACUGGAACACUGGAUGGAGCUCAAUGCACAGGAAGACUUGUACAGUAAGACUCUGGCAGAGUAUCACCACACCUCCCCUGCUAAUUGUCUUCUAGAAACACCACUCUAGCAUCGACCCCAUGUGGCACAUCAGGUAAGAACUGUACUACUAUGGUCUGUCCAUGUUUCCCUAACGAUGAGCUGCAGACAGCCCUGGCACACUUAGUGGUGUAAUGUUGUAUGGAAAAGUACAAAUAAAGGUUAUAGUUAGAGUA